rnacentral:tRNA from 1 species
GGGGUUGUGGCUCAGCGGUAGAGCGCUCGCCUAGCACGUGUGAGGCCCUGGGUUCAAUCCUCAGCACCACA